CGGUCAAACACAAAAUGGUGCCAAUCGGGUGUUUUUAACACUCAUUUUAGAACCACUUCUCUCUCGGACAAGGAAUUAGACCACAAAUAACACAAAAUGUAAAACAGCAUAUUGUGAUUUUUGGUGGGUGAGUUACAAAUGGACAAAACAACUGGAUGCUUAAUUUAAGCUGUGUGAAGUUGCUUGUUAUUGGCGGGAACUGGAACACGUUGUCGUACACGUCGAUCCAGAGCAUCCCAAACAUGUCUGGUGAGUAUGCAGGCCAUAGAAGAAUUAGGACAUUUUAAGCUUCCAGCAAUUGUGCAGAAAUCAUUGCGACAUGGGGCCUUGAAUUAUCAUGCUGAACCAUGGGGUGAUGGCGGGGGAUGAA